rnacentral:rRNA from 1 species
GAUGAACGCUGGCGGCGUGCCUAAUACAUGCAAGUCGAGCGAACAGACGAGGAGCUUGCUCCUCUGACGUUAGCGGCGGACGGGUGAGUAACACGUAGAUAACCUACCUAUAAGACUGGGAUAACUUCGGGAAACCGGAGCUAAUACCGGAUAAUAUAUUGAACCCUAUGGUUCAAUAGUGAAAUUCGGUUUUUCUGUCACUUAUAGAUGGAUCCGCGCCGCAUUAGCUAGUUGGUAAGGUAACGGCUUACCAAGGCGACGAUGCGUAGCCGACCUGAGAGGGUGAUCGGCCACACUGGAACUGAGACACGGUCCAGACUCCUACGGGAGGCAGCAGUAGGGAAUCUUCCGCAAUGGGCGAAAGCCUGACGGAGCAACGCCGCGUGAGUGAUGAAGGUCUUCGGAUCGUAAAACUCUGUUAUUAGGGAAGAACAAAUGUGUAAGUAACUAUGCACGUCUUGACGGUACCUAAUCAGAAAGCCACGGCUAACUACGUG